AGUAAAUUGGUUAAGUUAGAAAGGGCGCACGGUGGAUGCCUUGGCACUAGGAGCCGAAGAAGGACGGGACUAACACCGAUAUGCUUUGGGGAGCUGUACGUAAGCGUUGAUCCAGAGAUUUCCGAA
rnacentral:rRNA from 1 species